UGACGGUUAAUCUAACAUAAGACUACUGAUUUCGACUCAGUAAAUCUCAGACUCUGAGACCAUCAA
rnacentral:tRNA from 1 species